CGGACCAAGGGAGCAGGAGUGGGAGGAGCCGGGCCGAGAGCCGGGGCCCUUCCUCAGCCCCGCCCCCGCCCCGGCCCUCCCGGAGCCCGUUAUCUCUCCGAGUUAACCGCACGUGCUGAUUUGGUGCUAAUCAAACCCUUUGGACAUCCUGGAACUUUUGCCUCAGAACAUGCCUGGGAUCCCUCCCACUCUGGAAGCCUGUGGUACCCGUGCUGUAGUGGCAAGUGAUCAGAUGCCAGUAGUCAUAUAACACUGGGAGAGAAGGAGCCCCUCCUUGUAAUGCUGAGAGCAUCUUCUGAAAACAGGAAUCUUCUCAGGCUCUCUUCACAAGAUGUAUCCAAACAAGGACGAAUUCCAGAUUGCUGCUCAUCCAGUUUGUUCUUUGUGGGGACUCAGUGAGCCUUUAAUCUCCAUUUAAAGGACCUGCAAUUUACUGAAGCCACCAAAGGGCAGAAUGGAGGUUCAGAGGUCAUAAGUCACUUUGAAAGCAGGUGUGCGGAGGCAGGGCUGCAAAGAGGCACUAUUACUCUUAUUAAUGAGAGGAAUUGAUACUUGGAUGCUCUUAACCCUUCCCCGUUGCUCUCUAUCCCCACCCCCCUCAAACCAGACAAAACAAGACAAAAUGUUCAUGUCCUCUGUCUUACAAAGACUCGGGGACUGCUUGUCCUAUUUCAUCCAAGGACAGCUUGACUCUAGGACAUGAAAGGCUGCUCCCUGAGAAAUCUCUAAAAUCAUUCCCGGAAUGUUGUGUCAUGUGACCUGGCUUCCCAGUGUUGAUCUAAAGCCAUCCUUUCCCCAUAUCCUUAAAGCCUGGUUUGUUUUCUGGGAGAACAUCUUGAAUGUGAGGGGACUAGGCUGGUCACAUUAUUCUCACAUCAUAACGAUCUGUUAUUUGAACCAGGUUGGACCUGAAAUUCCCUGGGCUCUGGUUUAGAUCAUGUAGACAACCAUCAGAUUUUUCCCUCCACAGGGAAAAUAUGAAUGAUGAACCCCAAUCUUCAAGGCUCCUUUGCCCUCAUGAGGAGACAUUGGGUCUGUUUUAAGAGUCUCCUUCCAUAUAUGCAGAAUGCUGGCUCUAAACUGAAAUCAGUUCUUGGCACCUAUAGACAUUGCCCACAGCCUCCUCAUUCACACAUGGGACCUAUUCUAGAGCAUCCUGCAAUCAAAGACACCAUGGAUGCUGUUCUGCUUCAGGAACAAAGACACAGGGGCAAAAUGGGAUUUGUUUUAGACAGUAAACAUUUAUAACCACAGUUAUGUUUCUUUUUAAAAUUCUUCCAUUUCCAGGGGGCAGCUAGGUAGCAUAGUGGAUAGAGCACCAGGGCUGGAGUUGGGACAGGGCAGAGGGGGAUGCCUCAGUUUGACUCUAGCCUCAGAUACUUCCUAGCCCUGUUACCCUGGAGAAGUCACUUAACCCCAAUUGCUUAGUCCUUGUUACUCUUCUAUGUUUGAAUUGAUACUAAAAAUAGAAGGUAAGGGUUUAAUUUUUUUUCCAUUUUCAAUGUUCCUUCAGAUUUUCAGAUCCCUUGGUUCAGUUAAUCUGACCCUCUUGUUCCUCAUACAUAAUUCUGUAUCUCUUGUUUCUAUGCUUUGCACAGCCUGUCUCCUUGAGGCUGGAAUAUAUUCCUUCCUCCCUUUACCUCUUGGAAUUCCUUGUGUUGUUGGUUAGUCCUUUUAGUCAUCUUGACUGAGAUACUGGAGUGGUUUGCCAUUUCUUUCUCCAGCUCAUUUGACAGAUGAGGAAACUGAGGUGAAUGGGGUUAACUGACUUGCCUAGGGUUGCAAAGUUCGUAAGUGUUUAUGGCUGGACUCAAACUCAGGCCUGGCACUCUAUCCACUGUGCCACCUAGCUGUUUCUUAGAAUUCCUUCCUUCAAAACUUGUUCAAGUGCCACCUUCAGCAGAAGCCUUUCCCGAUCCUGCCAUUCUAGCUGGUAGUACCUGCCUCCCAGUUACUUUCCUGUAUUUGGCAUAAGUAUCCUAUAGAGUGGGGAGACUGAAGCUGAACCCAGUCCUCAUGAGUACACUCAAUGUAGUUGACUGACGCCAUUCCCGUAUAGACUUUGGAGCAUGGACAGACAAUCAGGAAUUGGUUUCAGUCUGCCAGCCAGCUGGUUGAAAGAAGAGGAGUCCUUUGAAAAGGCUUUGGAUCGGUACCUUAAGUGCAUUUACAAGGCACUGACCCUCCGCUCUAAAUCGAUGAUGGCUAUGUGCAAAUGAGGUACCAUCCCAUCCACAUCAUAUUGUCUGAGAUGACAGAAACGGGCUGGAGGGGACGUGGGGUCACUAAUGCACUGUUGGUGAAGGUCUGAAUUAAUGCCAUCAUUCUGGAGAGUGAUUUGGAACUAUGGCUAAAGAACUAUCAACUCGUGCACACCCUUGACUUGACAAUACCUCUACUAAAAUUUUAUCCCAACUAAAUCAAAAGGACCUCCUUGUACAAAAAUAUUUACAGCAGCUCUUUUUUUGUGGUGGCAAAAACUGGGAAUUUAGGCAACGCCCAUCCAUUGGAAAAUGCUGGACAAGUUGUGGUCUGUGAUUGUGAUGGAAUACUAUUGUGUUGUAAGAAAAGAAGAAGGGGGGGGGCAGACAGCCAGGUGGCUCAGUGGAUAGAGAGCCAGGUCUGGAGAUGGGAGGUCCUGGAUUCAAAUCUGACCUCAAAUACUUUCUAGCUGUGUGACCCUGGCAAGUCACUUAUCAAUUGCCUAGCCCUUAUUACUCUUCUACUUUGGAACUGAUAUUUAGUGUCAAUACUAAGACAGAUGGUAAGGGUUUAAAAAAAGAGGUGAAGAAGGGUAUAGUCUCAGAAAAACCUGGGAAGACAUAUGAACUGAUGCAAAAUGAAGUGAGCAGAACCAGAAGAGCAUUACGAUCUGUUCUAGGAGUCACCUUCUGUAGAUGAAGAGUGUUGGCUCUAAACUGAAUUCAGUUCUUGACACCUAUAGACAUUGUAACAGCAAUAUGGUAACGUGAAAGACUUGGUUACUCUGAUGAAUACAAUGAUCCAUGACAAUUCCAAGGGAUUCCAUGAUAAAAAAUACUAUCUACCUCCAGACCUCCAGAGAAAGAACUAAUAAACUCUGAGUGCAGA